GUCUGACCAGUGGGAAUGAUGAUAAAUUGUUUGUGUUACUCUUUGUCUUCUGGGGAAAUGUUUUCAUUAAGUCUGAAUGCUAUCUAAUGAUUGAGGCAGGAAAGUUUGAGAAAAGCGACUACUGUUAUUCAAUCACUGCAUCCAGAGGACAUUAAGAUGGAUCAAGGAGGGAAAAAGUAAAUGGUAACGCUAUCUGCUCCUGGGCUCGUCUUGCUACCCAAGCUCCCAUUGCAAGAGGUGGAGUGAAACAUCUUUCUCACUGACAAGUAACUUUCUUUCUCUCUUGCAGCAAAUGGUUGUCUUUGAAGCCAUGUUUUGAAGACAAAAGAACCAAAAAAUUUUAAAAAGUUGCCUAUUGUUAGCUGCUUAACUGACAUCAGAAGGCUUUUGGUCAAGCUUUAAAUGGACUUUUAAUUGCAUUCUCACAGAUGAUAUUCUUAUGAUAAUGAUCCAUUUUGCAGAAGGCUCCUACCUACUUGAACAGACUGAAUGGCUUAUAAACAAGAAACAUUUAUUUCUCACACUCUGGAGGCUGGAAAGUCCAAGGUCAAGGCACCAUUAUGGCUGUGUUCUGGUGAGGACCUGCUUCCUUGUUCGCCGAUGGCGUCUUUUUGCUGUAUCCUCACAAUGGGGAAGGGACAAGGGAUCUCUGUGGGGCUUCUCUUGUAAGAACACUAAUCCCACGCACGAAGCCUCUACUCUCAGGACCCAAGCACUUCCCAAAUGCCCCACCUCCUAAUAUCAACAUCCUUGGGGUUUAAGAUCUCAACAAAUGAAUUUUGGGAGGACAUAGAUAUUCAGACCAUAGCAAUAUUACACUUGCAUAUUCACAAUUUGAUAAAAACAACUAGUCUCAUGAGCAAAAAUAUCAAAAUGAAGUGAAAAGUUUAAUAAACCUUCUGGAUACAUGUGCCAUUGUAACAUUCAGGUUAAAAAAUGUGUCAUUUUUUUACUUGUAUUACAGAGAGUAUAUUUGCCUAAUAUAAUAAAUAAAAUACACAUAUUUUUCUUACAUUUUUCCCAAAAAGAACUUUGAUGAGUAGAUGGAAAUACAAUACUUGUUUGUUCAAAAGCCUUACAGGUUCAUGCAUAACACUACAGAUAUUUAUUCAGCUAGGACUUAAAAAUGCUAAUACUUUAUACUGUUUAGCAGUGAAAUAUUUGUAGGGAAAGUGCCUUUCUGAACAUUUAAUAGUUAUAUCCUAAGACUCAGUCUAAAUACUUCUUUAUGUAAAGAAAAGUGUAAUCCCCUUCUGUGAAGACUUCACCACUUCUUUUGUGCCUUAUUGUUUUUUAUUAAAGUACCUAUAAAAUUGGUAAUGAUUUUUUGUUUAGAUUUUCCCCACCUAUCUAAAAUAUAUAUAUAUAUAUAUAAGCUCCUCAAGGAGAUAACAGGCAUGGAAAAUUAUAUAAUGUCAUACUACUGACUAAGAAAAAAAGCUUUUUAGAAAGCAAAAUUAUAACACUUUGCUUCAACACGUUCAUUGAAUCAAUAGGAGCAACCAUAAACCAUAAGUCUGGGAUGGGAGAUUAUGUUGAUUUCGUAUGCUUCCACAUCAGCACAUUAAGUAAAGGCUAUCAUAUUUUUGUAAGUAUCUGUAAAGAAAUGAUAUUUCUAUGAAGUAACCACCUACAGCUCUGAUGGGGAUAGAGUAUUACGCCUCCCCAUUCUCCCAUUCCUACAAAGAAGAUACUUUUCUGAGAGUUUGUGUUAUCAAAAUACAGGGUUGAGUUAACUCCUACAUGACUCCUACAUAUAGACAGUUGCCUCUCUAGGAAAAGGAAAAGAUUGCUACAAGGUGGAAAGAUUCAUUUUAUAGAUUAAUAUAAAUGGUUAACUGAUCUCAAAUAGGCAAUAACAGUUAGCUUGGACUUAAGUUUUGAAGUUAUUUUAAACCGUGCUUUAAAUUUUAUCUAUAGUCCUAUAAACUAUCCUAUGAUCUGGCUUAAUUAAAAUAAUUCUGUUAAUUGAAUACAUUUAUUUUUAUAGAUACUGAAUAAUGUUUUACCUUAAUUCUUUAUCAUAUACAUCUCAAAAGUUUAACUGCCUGAAAGUUUCAUAACCUCUUCACAAAUAUGAUAAAGAGGCUCUUAAGAUAGUAAUUUAAGUUUAAGAGGUAUGCUUAGAUUAUUCAAACUUAAUUUGGUGACCCAAUUGACCACAUUUACACAUUGUAAACCCCUAGAGACCAAAAACAAAACUAAAUAUGCUACAUUAAAUGUUUAAAGGUCACAUUACUUUGCUACAUAAAUGUGGAUGCUUAUAAAUAUAGAAUUUCAUUUUUAUGAUGUUCGUAUUUAUGGGGGGAGAAAUCAUAUUGGUUACGUUUCUGUCACUGAAAUAAUUUCAAAAGACUUUCUAGAUAAAACAUAUUAAAGGUAGAUAAAUAAGAGAAGCCAAUGUUUAAAUUUUAAUAGUAAAGUAUAUAAGCCUCUGUAUACAUGUAAAUAUAGAGUAUGAAUUGCUAGUAAAAUGCUAUAUGUGACUAACAUAUUAUUGGGUCUUUAUCUUUUGCAUUAACUUUUAUCUUUAUAUUUGUGGUUUUACAAUUGAAGUCCUAGAGAUAUUUGCAUUUAAUUUCCUGAGUUUAGAUUUCCACUUUUACCUCAAAAUAUUUAUUGAGGUUAAUACCCAAGGGGAAAAGUUUACUUUUUUGGGGGUCCUUUAUAACUUAAAAAGUCUGAAAAUUAUUUCUACUAUUUUUUAGGAAACUAUAUCCUCUUGUAGAUUAAAUCCAUGAAUGAAAUACUUUAAUCAGGCAAGUUGUUAUAUUAAAAAAAUUAUGCAAUUUGUAAAUGGAGUUGAAAUGGAAAUCUGUGUGUGAUUUAAGUGAUAAAAUAGUAUUAUAAUUAUGAAUUAUGGAAGAAAAACAUCCCCUAAACUCCUAGCACAUUUACCUGGGCUUCAUUGAAUUUUCUUUUGUGUUUAUGUUCAUGAAGAGUCCCAGAAAGUUCUCAAAAGGAAAAAAAAAGGAAACUAUGUCACCACUGGCAAAUAGGAUGUCAGCCACUAUAAGAGUUCAUGGCUCCCUGGCUGUGAAGACCAAGUCUUGUGGUGAAGAACACUGCCUUCCUCCCUGUUAUAAUCAUUCAUUAACGUACGCUUUCAGAAAAUUGCUUUUGAUUUAUAUCAAUGUAAAUUCAAUAGCUG
ensembl:lncRNA